UACGGAGGAUGCGAGCGUUAUCCGGAUUUAUUGGGUUUAAAGGGUGCGUAGGCGGACUGUCAAGUCAGCGGUAAAAGCCCGGGGCUCAACCCCGGCGAGCCGUUGAAACUGGCGGGCUGGAGUUGGAGAGGGCGGUGGAACUCCAUGUGUGGCGGUAAAAUGCGUAGAUAUAUGGAAGAACACCAGUGGCGAAGGCGGCCGCCUGGCCUGUUGCUGACGCUGAGGCACGAAAGCGUGGGGAGCAAAUAGG
rnacentral:rRNA from 1 species